GUGUUUAUUUGGUAGCACAUAUAUUAAAAAAUUAGAAUAAUACUGAGAAGGUUAGCAUGGCCCCUGCCCAAGGAUGACAUGCAAGGUAUGAAGCCUUCCUUAUUUUU
ensembl:snRNA U6 U6 spliceosomal RNA